GACGUAGGGCGCGAGCGUUUGUCCGGAAUUGUAAUUGGGCGUAAAGAGCAUCGUAGGCGGCUUGUUGCGUCGACUGUGAAAACCCGCCGGCUCAACCGUGUGGCUUGCAGUCGAUACGGGCAGGCUAGAGUUCGGUAGGGGAGACUGGAAUUCCUGGUGUAGCGGUGAAAUGCGCAGAUAUCAGGAGGAACACCGGUGGCGAAGGCGGGUCUCUGGGCCGAUGACUGACGCUGAGGAGCGAAAGCGUGGGGAGCGAACAGG
rnacentral:rRNA from 1 species